AAGCCUAGCGGCGAACGGUCGCGUAACACGUAAGCAACCUGCCCUGAAGUGGGGGAUAGCCCGCCGAAAGGCGGAUUAAUACCGCAUGUGAACACUCUCUCGCAUGUCUGAGUGUUUAAAGCAGCAAUGCGCUUCAGGAUGGGCUUGCGGCCUAUCAGCUAGUUGGUGGGGUAACGGCCUACCAAGGCGACGACGGGUAGCUGGUCUGAGAGGAUGGUCAGCCGGACUGGGACUGAGACACGGCCCAGACUCCUACGGGGGGCAGCAAUUAGGAAUCUUGCGCAAUGGGCGAAAGCCUGACGCAGCGACGUCGCGUGACCGAUGAAGUCCUUCGGGAUGUAAAGGUCUUUUUUGGGGGAAGAAGGAUGUGACGGUACCCCAAGAAUAAGCCCCGGCUAACUACGUGCCAGCAGCCGCGGUAAUACGUAGGGGGCGAGCGUUGUCCGAAUUCACUGGGCGUAAAGCGCGCGUAGGCGGGCUAUUAAGUUGGGGGUGAAAUCCCGAGGCUUAACCUCGGAACUGCCUCCAAAACUGGUAGCCUUGAGGUAUGGAGAGGGAAGUGGAAUUCCUGGUGUAGCGGUGAAAUGCGUAGAUAUCAGGAGGAACACCCGUGGCGAAGGCGGCUUCCUGGCCAUAUCCUGACGCUGAGGUGCGAAAGCUAGGGGAGCGAACGGGAUUAGAUACCCCGGUAGUCCUAGCCGUAAACGAUGGAUACUAGGUGUUAGAGGUAUCGACCCCUCUAGUGCCGCAGCUAACGCAUUAAGUAUCCCGCCUGGGGAGUACGACCGCAAGGUUGAAACUCAAAGGAAUUGACGGGGGCCCGCACAAGCGGUGGAGCAUGUGGUUUAAUACGUCACUAA
rnacentral:rRNA from 1 species